rnacentral:lncRNA from 1 species
GGUUGCUGAGGGGCAAAUGGAGCCGCAUGUAACAGUUUUGUUUCAUAUUAAUGGAGAACUUCACUUAUUCACCCUAAAAAAAAGUAGAGCCACACGUAGCAUCCUCAUUUGGAUGCCUACAUUUCAGUUGCAUACUAAUUAGGCUACAAGAAUAUUUUGCAAUUAGUCGAUUCACAAUCCAAAUGACCACAAGACAGAUUGCAGUGGAUCGAAUAUCUAUUAACUAAAAAAAAAAAUUUCUCUCCAUUCUAUCUCUAUUAGAGUCUAAAUACACAUAUCUCAUAUCAUCAUCUCCAUCAUCCAUUGUGCGCCAUACCAACCCUACCUCCUGUCGGAUCUCCUUGGCUGUAUUCCAUUGCUUCUCUCCUUGACCUUUCCUCCUCCACCUCUGCUUCCCCUCUCCCAUCUCAAGUUCCUCAUCAUUAUUCUUGAUAUCACUAUUGGCCUUUACCGCAUUCAAGAGACCCACAACCAUCUCCUUUGCCUUAGAUUUUACCAUAAUAGCUUCCUCGUCACCCACCUCUUUUGCUGUCCUUGCUAACCCACCAUAUCUCCACCUAGCCUUGCCUACUCCUUAUCUUUGCCCAAGUCCCUUACCCUAGCCCCU